CCAGCAUUACAACACAGUCUGCUAAAUGAAAUGAAGAACUUAAAGAGAAAUAGGUAGAAGACAGGGAAAGGGUAACAAAGAACUUGUUGGAGAUUUCAUGGUAUGGGAAUAUGGAUGAUGAAGUGAAAUAAAUUAAUGAGUGAGGAAGAAGGAAGCAGAAUUGUGCAGAAAAGCAAAAGGAAGCACUUGAAAUUCAGGAAUAAGGAAAAUGUGGAAAAAAGAAGUUGCCAUUUUCACAUGGUUUUCUAAGAGCGGCAAUUGAUGAUGACCUAGAUGGGAAGGGAAAGAAUGGCAAGGAGCCAGCAAUCUCAACUCCGAAACCAUCCACCCCUGAACUGUGUGCUGAGGAGUAGACUGUUGGUUUAUGGAUCCAGAAGAGAAAAUAAAUCAAGAAUCGACUGCAAGACUGACAAUGACUUAGCAGGAUUAAAACAAGUCCUUGCAUAGAAUUAUGUGCACGGAGUUUAACAUGGCUUAUAGCUAUUUAUAUAAUUAAAUAAUAACCAUAUAAUUUGCUUUAGCAGAUCAGAGAAGCAUUCUAAUGUUUAGAUUAAUACUCAGAAUAAAGAUGUCCUUCUGUGUGAGGAUAUGACACGAAUAUCCGUGUUCAGAGAUCCAAGUUCUGCUUGGAUAACUGCUGCUGGAUAAACUGUCCAGAUGUGGACAAGCUUUCAAAUUUUUGCUCAAUACCAAGGAGAUAAUGUCUGAUCAUUCUCUGCAUAAAAAGACUUUGCAAAUGCUCCUGUCAUUCAAAGUUGCACAAAGAAAAUAUAAUUUGUGAGUAUUUGUUUGCAGCCCAGGCAGAUGGAGGGACAGCAGGUAGAUAAAUACAGCUAUUCUCUCCCAUGAAUGCCUUCAAAAGAAAGGUCACAGAUAAGGCAGUAAGUAAAGUGAAUGGAGAUUAGGAAGAACAUCUGUUUAUUUAGGAUAGUGAGGGGGGGAAAUAUUCAUUUCUUUUCAAAUAGAUUUCAGUUUGCUGUCUUAUCAAUAGGCAUCUGCCUGCUUCUGAAUCUUGAGCAAUCCUGAGUAUUAAUCUUUUCACUGGUUUAAAAAAAAACACACAGAGAUGGGAAAGAACUGUACCAAUGUUCUCCAGGGAUACCUUGUCUCUGUUUCUGUAAUUUGCGGGAUAAGCAUGCAUCUUAUGAUAGUUGCCCAGAGUCCCUGCUGUGAGAUGGAUGGCUCUAUAACUCGAAUAAAUACAUACAUUUCAGAUAACAGGGUUCAGGAGAAGAGCCUUUCCUGCUGUGGCCCCCGCCUUUUGGAAUAUUUUCCCCUCCGAGAUGAGGUCAGCCCCCGCACUCCUGGCUUUUCUGAAAAGCCUUAAAACCUGGCUCUGCUUUAAUUAUUUAAUUACUAUUUAACAAAUAAUAAACAGCUAUGUACACAUUAGGCACUGACCAACUGAAUGUUUAGUAUUGAAAAAUGGAAAGCUAUAUACAAAUUGUGCUGCUGAGUGUUCCUUUCUCCCUAUUUCCUAAUACAGAUGGAAAAAGAAGUAAAAUGAAUCUAUUGUGGCAUGGCUGGUUGGGGAAUUCUGGGAGUUGAAAUCCACACGUUUUAAAGUUGCUCAGGUUGAGAAACACUGCAUUAUGGGUUUGAUGGAAGUGUGCUACAGCAAUCCACCCAAAUGAACCAUUGUUGCAGCACCUUUAGGCAUUAGUGAAUCAGGCCUAUCGGCAUCUACAGGGGGAAAGAAUGGGAAGCAAAUUGUGUAGAGACAUGUUUUAUGUACACACAUUAGACAUCGUAGUUCAUCAUAUAAAUGCAUCACUUAACCACUGGCAUGACAUGUAUAUCAUGUUGGCAUUAUUGUGGUUUGUAAUGAACAUCUAGCAUCUCUCAUUCUAUACGGUGUUUAAAACUUUGUUUAGAGAAGUAAGUAAACAGAGAGAGGGGGAAAAUCAUCUUUCAAUUUUGUGGUGGUGGUAUUCUGUUUCAAAUAUAUGUAAUAUUACGUAUAUUUAUGAGCUGUGCCUAAUGGGGCGAGCUCCCAUUCCUUGCCCCAGCUCCUGCCCACCUAGCAGUUUGAAAGCAUGCAAAUGCGUGUAGAUUAAUAGGUACCACUUCAGUGGG